rnacentral:tRNA from 1 species
AACUAUUUAACUAAAUUUAAGUAUAUAAUUUGAAAUUAUAAAAUAAAAGUAAAUCUUUUAAUAGUUU